UACAGGGUGACAGGUGGUGCCAUGGUUGUCGUCAGCUCGUGUCGUGAGAUGUUGGGUUAAUCCCGCAACGAGCGCAACCCUGACCUUAGUUGCCAGCAUUCAGUUGGGCACUCUAAGGUGACUGCCGGCUAAAAGUCGGAGGAAGGUGGGGAUGACGUCAAAUCAUCAUGCCCCCUAUGACCUGGGCUACACACGUGCUACAAUGGGCGGUACAAAGGGUCGCGAACCCGCGAGGGGGAGCCCAAUCUCAAAAAGCCGCUCUCAGUUCGGAUUGCAGGCUGCAACUCGCCUGCAUGAAGCCGGAAUCGCUAGUAAUCGCGGAUCAGCAUGCCGCGGUGAAUACGUUCCCGGGCCUU
rnacentral:rRNA from 1 species